AUGAGUGAAGUAUAAACCCCUUUACGAGUAUCAAUUGGAGGGCAAGUCUGGUGCCAGCAGCCGCGGUAAUUCCAGCUCCAAUAGCGUAUAUUAAAGUUGUUGCAGUUAAAAAGCUCGUAGUUGGAUUUCUGUUGUAUAAUUUUAAAAUAUACCCAGGGAAAUAUUUAAUUUACCAACACCCUCCCAAUAAUUUCCAAAAUAUAUAGGAAAUUUUACUUUGAGAAAAUU
rnacentral:rRNA from 1 species